rnacentral:rRNA from 1 species
AUUGAACGCUGGCGGCAGGCCUAACACAUGCAAGUCGAGCGAGGGGAGGACGGGUGAGUAAUGUAUGGGGACUGCCCGCUAGAGGGGGAUAACUACUGGAAACGGGGGUUAAUACCGAUUGCUAUCGGAUCACCCAUAUGGGAUCAUCUAGUGGGGGGGGUAAAGGCUCACGUAGGCGACGAGCUCUAGCUGGUCUGAGAGGAUGAUGAGCAACACUGGUACUGUGACACGGCACAUACGCCUACGGAGGCAGCAGUGGUGAAUAUUGGACAAUGGGUGUAAGCCUGAGGCAGCCAUGCCGCGUGUAUGAAGAAGGCCUUAGGGUUGGAAAGGACUGUCAGCGGGUAGGCGUUACCCGCAGAAGAAGCACCGGCUAACUCCGUGCCAGCCGCCGCGGUAAUAC